GGCCUUGGGGCUGGUUGAGGCAAACAAAAGGGAGAAGAGCAGCAAGAACCACACUCAUGCAGGAGGAAGCACAGGGAGGAGGCACCAGCCGUGUUCUCAGCUGCUACCUGGAACCCCGCAUCCCAUGGGCUUUGAGGAAGUCAGCAUCUGCAGAGACCAUCCGGAUUUUAGCUCUGGGUCCAAGGAGGCAGAGAGGCUUGUGUCAUGCUUGACCCCACUCCCCAGGAGGAUGGACUGACAGACUCCAGAGCUUCUUCCUCCCACUGCCCACCCCCAGGUUCCUCUGCGGCAAGGAGAUCAAGAAGAAGAAGUGCAUCUUCCGCCUGCGCAUCCGCGUCCCACCCAACCCGCCAGGGAAGCUGCUGCCUGACAAAGGACUGCUGCCAAAUGAGAACAGCGCCUCCUCUGAGCUGCUUUGUUGCCUCACGAAUUCCAGCAGCAGAAAAGGCGAGUUUAUAGAAGAAAAAGAUCAAAGUUUUUGCUGGAAGAUGCUAUUCCCAGUAGUGACUUCACCUCAGCCUGGAGCACCAACCACCACCUGGCUAGCAUAUUUGACUUCACGCUGG
rnacentral:lncRNA from 1 species